rnacentral:lncRNA from 1 species
CUUUUUUUUUCCCUUUAUAGCAGUUAGUUUCUCAGCAUAGUCCCUGACCACAAAUACUUUUGAGUGGAACAUCUGGUUCUAAUGUGCGCUCUAGAAAUGUUACUUUCUGCAAUAUCCCACUCCUCCCCCAGAUGAUAUUUUCCCUCUUGUGUUUGCCCAGCAUGGCUUGAAAGCGGAUCAGUAUCUGAAGAAACAAAAGACCCGUCUGAGAACAAAGACUUCAAAAGCCACAAAGUGAUUUCCCAGAGCCUGGGGCAGUUGCAGGAGGAUUAGAAGACACUGAUGUGUUGGCACGCAGUGUGUGAACUUCAAAGGAAAAGAAGGAAAAGCCUUUGAGUAAGGAAAGAAGAGAGAGAGUUUUCCAAGAUAAAACAGUGCACUUGGAGCAGGCCCUGAGAGGCUGCAGUCCAGAUGUGGCUUUCUGACGUGUUGCAUGGUGACGUGACAUCCUGGUGUGACAGAGAGAAGACGAGCCUCAAAAGAGAUGUGGAAUUACCCAACUCAACAUUUGACGCUGCUUUAGUUUUCAGAAGGACUUCAGGCUGAGUGGCAAACUGUCCCACGUCAGGGACAUCAAGUCCAUCAAGGAAGUUCCAGCAAGGAGAUGAUGAUCCUAAAUGCCUGUGCACCCCUGUGGAGACCAGCAGCAAGCUGACUGGGGUGCUGGAAAGCUGGGGGACAUCUCCACCUUUGAAAUGCAUCACUUCUAUGUUGGAGACCAGCUCUAGAGAGCAUACCCUGUGAUUCGGCAGGGCACUGGAUGUGCAUUACACAGGGUCUCCUGAAAUAUGUGACAGCCAGGAAUUGGGAAGGCCAUGCAGGAAAAGCUAGGCAGACUUAGAGUGCUAUAAUUGUGUGCCAAUGCUGAGGUUGAGUUCCCUGAAAUGUACAUAAAGUGAGGCUGUACUUCCUAGAAACCCAGC